GACGAACUUUGGCGGCGUGCUUAACACAUGCAAGUCGAACGGAAAGGCCCUGCUUUUGUGGGGUGCUCGAGUGGCGAACGGGUGAGUAACACGUGAGUAACCUGCCCUUGACUUUGGGAUAACUUCAGGAAACUGGGGCUAAUACCGGAUAGGAGCUCCUGCUGCAUGGUGGGGGUUGGAAAGUUUCGGCGGUUGGGGAUGGACUCGCGGCUUAUCAGCUUGUUGGUGGGGUAGUGGCUUACCAAGGCUUUGACGGGUAGCCGGCCUGAGAGGGUGACCGGCCACAUUGGGACUGAGAUACGGCCCAGACUCCUACGGGAGGCAGCAGUGGGGAAUAUUGCACAAUGGGCGGAAGCCUGAUGCAGCAACGCCGCGUGCGGGAUGACGGCCUUCGGGUUGUUAACCGCUUUCGCCUGUGACGAAGCGUGAGUGACGGUAAUGGGUAAAGAAGCACCGGCUAACUACGUGCCAGCAGCCGCGGUGAUACGUAGGGUGCGAGCGUUGUCCGGAUUUAUUGGGCGUAAAGGGCUCGUAGGUGGUUGAUCGCGUCGGAAGUGUAAUCUUGGGGCUUAACCCUGAGCGUGCUUUCGAUGCGGGUUGACUUGAGGAAGGUAGGGGAGAAUGGAAUUCCUGGUGGAGCGGUGGAAUGCGCAGAUAUCAGGAGGAACACCAGUGGCGAAGGCGGUUCUCUGGGCCUUUCCUGACGCUGAGGAGCGAAAGCGUGGGGAGCGAACAGGCUUAGAUACCCUGGUAGUCCACGCUGUAAACGGUGGGUACUAGGUGUGGGGUCCAUUCCACGGGUUCCGUGCCGUAGCUAACGCUUUAAGUACCCCGCCUGGGGAGUACGGCCGCAAGGCUAAAACUCAAAGGAAUUGACGGGGCCCCGCACAAGCGGCGGAGCAUGCGGAUUAAUUCGAUGCAACGCGUAGAACCUUACCUGGGUUUGACAUGGAUCGGGAGUGCUCAGAGAUGGGUGUGCCUCUUUUGGGGUCGGUUCACAGGUGGUGCAUGCCUGCCGUCAGCUCGUGUCGUGGGAUGUUGGGUUAAGUCCCGCAACGAGCGCAACCCUUGUUCACUGUUGCCAGCACGUUAUGGUGGGGACUCAGUGGAGACCGCCGGGGUCAACUCGGAGGAAGGUGGGGAUGACGUCAAGUCCUCAUGCCCCUUAUGUCCAGGGCUUCACGCAUGCUACAAUGGCUGGUACAGAGAGUGGCGAGCCUGUGAGGGUGAGCGAAUCUCGGAAAGCCGGUCUCAGUUCGGAUUGGGGUCUGCAACUCGACCUCAUGAAGUCGGAGUCGCUAGUAAUCGCAGAUCAGCAACGCUGCGGUGAAUACGUUCCCGGGGCU
rnacentral:rRNA from 1 species